rnacentral:rRNA from 1 species
UACGUAGGGAGCAAGCGUUGUUCGGAUUUACUGGGCGUAAAGGGCGCGUAGGCGGCCUGUUAAGUCAGCUGUGAAAUCUCCGAGCUUAACUCGGAACUGUCAGCUGAUACUGAUGUGCUUGAGUGCGGAAGGGGCAAUCGGAAUUCUUGGUGUAGCGGUGAAAUGCGUAGAUAUCAAGAGGAACACCUGAGGUGAAGACGGGUUGCUGGGCCGACACUGACGCUGAGUGCGCGAAAGCCAGGGGAGCAAACGGG